rnacentral:rRNA from 1 species
UACGGAGGGAGCUAGCGUUGUUCGGAAUUACUGGGCGUAAAGCGCACGUAGGCGGCUAUUCAAGUCAGAGGUGAAAGCCCGGGGCUCAACCCCGGAACUGCCUUUGAAACUAGAUAGCUAGAAUCUUGGAGAGGUCAGUGGAAUUCCGAGUGUAGAGGUGAAAUUCGUAGAUAUUCGGAAGAACACCAGUGGCGAAGGCGACUGACUGGACAAGUAUUGACGCUGAGGUGCGAAAAGCGUGGGGAGCAAACAGG